AUCCUUUUCUGGAAGAGAGCAGGAUGUAGCUCCAAGGUCCUGAGGAGCUAAUGCUUGGGAAUACUUUACGUGAAGUGAAGGGGCAGAAUCCUCAAAGCAGAAGCUCCCUGCCUUCUUAUGGUGCGUCCCUUGGGGCAGAAGGGAGGAGCAUUUUCACACAGAUGCAAAUUUAAACGAAGAUGCCCUGCAAGACUUAGAAGAAGCCAUAGCUUUGACCAGCAUUGCGCCCAACGGGAACUGUGAAGUGGCCUCGGGGGGGUUGGACACUUAAGAGCCCCUGGUUCGUUGCUGCUCUGGUGGGCUCUCUCAUCUCUUUCCGGAAGUAAAAAAAUUCAGGACUGAGAUCAUCCUCACAGGCUCCGUGAAGGAAGCAGCUAGAAGCUCAUCUGCUCUGUGAUAGUCUGCUCCGGAGCCAUUUUUGCAGAAGAGAUGCUGGCUCGUGCCCUUUCAUCGCUUCAUCGUUCUUGUUCCCUGGAGAGCCAGAGAAGCAGCUCUUUCUGUUCUUAGGCACAUGACGAUGGGUGCUCUCCUCACAAAAAGGAUGCCAUUGGAGUUCUCGAGUCUCCCAUUGGAAGAGGCACCGUAUUUUUCCACAGGUUGUGGUGGGUGUCGUACAAGGGAAACAUCAGCAUGUCAUUCUUGCCAGAUCUGACUUCUGUUUCAACUUGUCUGCUUCGUUCAAGGAUCACUGUCUUUAGAAAUCAUCUGCAGGAUGAGAAAUCUUUAAGCUUGGAAGGAAAAGAGGAACAGUUGCUGGUGUUUUGGAAAACUUUCCCCUUUAUUCUGUCCCUGAAUGUGGUUUCUGGUGGCAAAGAAAUUCUGCUGCACUCUUAAUGAAGGUACCCCAGCCAGUGUUGUCCAAACUUGGCCACUUUAAGAUGAGUGGACUUCAACUCCCAGA